rnacentral:rRNA from 1 species
GCACGAGCGCACCCACGUCCCUAGUUGCCAUCAUUCAGUUGGGCACUCCAGGGAGACUGCCGGUGAUAAGCCGAGAGGAAGGUGUGGAUGACGUCAAGUCCUCAUGGCCCUUACGGGCUGGGCUACACACGUGCUACAAUGGCGGUGACAGUGGGAUGCGAAGGGGCGACCCUUAGCAAAUCUCAAAAAGCCGUCUCAGUUCGGAUUGCACUCUGCAACUCGAGUGCAUGAAGGUGGAAUCGCUAGUAAUCGUAGAUCAGAACGCUACGGUGAAUACGUUCCCGGGCCUUGCACACACCGCCCGU